rnacentral:misc_RNA from 1 species
AAUGCGAUAAGUAAUGUGAAUUGCAGAAUUCAGUGAAUCAUCGAAUCUUUGAACGCACCUUGCGCUCCUUGGUAUUCCUUGGAGCAUGCCUGUUUGAGUAUCAUGAAAUCUUCAAAGUAAAUCUUUUGUUAACUCAAUUGGUUUCUACUUUGGUAUUGGAGGUCUUUGCAGCUUCACACCUGCUCCUCUUUGUUCAUUAGCUGGAUCUCAGUGUUAUGCUUGGUUCCACUCGGCGUGAUAAGUUAUCUAUCGCUGAGGACACUGUAAAAGGUGGCCAAGGUAAAUGCAGAUGAACCGCUUCUAAUAGUCCAUUGACUUGGACAAUACUUUUAUGAUCUGAUCUCAAAUCAGGUAGUACUACCCGCUGAACUUAAGC